GCCGGCGGCGCCGCCUCCCCGACCCCAGCGGCCCCUCGGCCGCCAGCUCGAGUACUUCCGUACCGGUGCCGGGACUGGGCUCCCUUGCUCCAGUACCCCUGGCUGGAGCAAGGGCGCCCUCCGCUUACGUCCUGAGUAACCGGCCUCUUCCUCUCAGCGGCGCGAUGGUCGCACCGAGUUAAGAUCCCCGUCGGGAAGCGCUGGGUUUGCCCGUGGUGCCCUGCUUGGAGUAGCCCUGUCUAGCACUGUUGAAGUCAGUCAUGGCUGUUGUCGUCCUUCCUGGACUGGAUUCACUGAAGGGCAAAAUUCAGCAUCCCCCUAGACACAAAUUCCUCCCACCAUGAGCAGGGAUGGGGUUUGAAUGGCCUACUGCAUCGUGCUUUUAUGUGGUCCCACACACCUGCUCUUUUUAUCCAUCUUUUCUUCCAUUUUUCCUACUGUUCACUUGUUUCUUCCCUAAAACCUGACUUGGUAGGUAGGGGUUUGUGAUUUGUGUUCAUGUUGUUUAUUCUUUUUUAUUCUUAUUAGUUCAUAAGGAGUGCCAAGAGCAGUUUCACAUCUACAGAAAACCUGUUCCUGCCUUGCAAGUAGCUUGAAGAGCAUCAGGGAGAUGGUGGCGUGGAAGGGAAGUAACAGAGGUAUGUAGACAUGUUCUGUGUUUUAUUUGCUGACACCAUCUGAGGAUGAGUGGGCUUAUGAAAGAGCCUGGAAAGCCGAGCCUUUGUCGAUGAAUCAUGGGAGGUUGUGUCACCGUAAGAGGAUGAGGUGGAGAAAUGAUUGAAGGGUAUGUGGUUGAGAAAUACUGCUGGAGUGCAGAAGUGGUGGGGACAACACGGGUCUCAACAGAAGAGGAGUAGACUGGGGGAAUGCAGUUAGGUUGGGCCUUGAAGUAGGACAGUAGGUGAAAAACAAGUGGAGGGCUGCUAAGGAGUAAGUGACGUGGUCAGGUUUGUGAGAGGUGUUUGAUCUUCCUCAGGUUGCAAAGGAGCAUUUUAUGUUUGGAGUAUAGAGAAAAGAACUUUGCAGUAGUUGUGGUAGGGUAUACCAAAGAGGCCUAAACAGCAGAUUUGCCUAUGAAAACGAUGAUUGGUCUUGAAGCUGGAGGGGUAGAAUGAAGGCCCAGGAUAUGUGUGUGACUCAUGGGAAAGGGAGGGGGGAUAGUGGAAAUGGGGUAUGUUAUUGCUGCCAGUAGUGAAGGAGAAAAGGGAAAGUGAAGCUAAACCAACACAACCUUGUACCUCAGCAAGCAUAUAUUGAUGACAAAAUCUCCAGGAAGAGAUGCCAGGCAGAGGCAGAAAGGUUGAUGACAGAGGGGGAAAUAUGAGAAUCACAAGCACAGAAAUGCUAUCUAAAAUCCUUGAGAACUGCCAGACAGAGGGCAGAAAGGGAAGUGAGGGCAGGUCUGUGAACUCAAGCCUGGUAUUAAGAAAGGAAAAGAGAAUGAUGACUCAUUGACAGAAAUAACACAAGUGAACAUUAUUUGUAAUCGUAGUAAGUACUACUUCUGAUAGUAACAGAUCUAAGGAUCAACAGGAAAGCACUGUAGGGUAGGUUCUGAGAGUUACAAAGGCUGAGGAAGGCAGGUGACCCAGGAAAGAAUUUUAAGGACUUGUGAAUCCUAGGCCAAUGUGUCCUUCAUGUCACAUCCACAGCUGUAGAGGCUAUUUCCCAGGUUUUCAGCUCCUGCCUUCUGUAUUGCCUUAUUCCACAUCAGUGACUUAUCCACGCCAUAAUACAGGACCUUAGAAGUCAUCUGAAAGUAUAUGUUAAAACCAGCAAGCUUGUUUAAAGGUAGUUUUCACAGGCUUGGGUGAGAAGGCCAUGCUUAAGUGACCUGUGAGGUUUCUUUGAACAUACUAAGGCUGUAAUUGAUAAAGGAGCAGUUGGUAGGCAUGGAAGAGUUGGAUAGUUCAAAACACAUGUGAGAGGGCCUCAGGGCAGAGACUGAUCAUCAAACAGAAACUGUGAGAUCCAGAGCAAGACAGCUGCUGAAAUGGGAAGCUCUCUUAGAAAUACAAAUUGAAAUAUGAAAUUCAUACAUUAUUUUGAUGUGGAAAAUGAAAGAUAACUUUGUGUUUGAAGCUUACCUUGAGGUUUGAGAGAGGAGCAUGUUAGAAAAAUAAUAUACUUAUUAAACAAGGAUCCUGACACAACAUAACUGCACCGGAAGAUACAAAGACUGUUUUGCACUGUAGAUUACAGCAUGAUUUGCAUUUGUUUAAUUAGUUAGUGGUAGUUGAUACCACCAGAUAGGCAGUUCCUGAUUUAUACAUAACGAAUAUUUUAAGUCAGCCCAGCAGGUGCUGUGUAUCAGCAAAGUUUUGCUUUAAGCCUGCCAUACAGUGACAUAAAAUUCUGGUUUAGUUAAAAAAAAAAAAAAUAAUCCAUAAUUGCUAAUGUUUGGACUAUGGUAGACAAAACACACCAAAUAAUUUUCAAAGAUCUAAUUUAUGGGUAAAAAGUUUUCACAGAAGUUUGGUUAAUCCCAAACUGUAUAGUGGUACUUCUACUCCCUUAGUCCUAUGGAAAAAUAACAAUAUUACAACUAUUUUUUUUCUGGUUUAUAGUUGACAUUUUUAAAGAUUCUUUUUGGUUGCAGAAUCUGCUUAAGCAGAUUUGAUAUCUUAAGCUAUAAGCUUCCAUCUUCAUGUGCUGGGAUGCCGAAGGAUCUCCCCUCACUCUACAAAGAAUUCCAAGGCUAUAAUGGAUACAUACCCCCCGUGUACGUGAGCUGAAUGUACAGAUUAGCUUGCCCCAGUCAGCCAUAACCCAUGUUCAGUCUUUUUGGUUUCAGCAUAGCUGUGUGUCUCCUCUAUGCUUUUAGACUUAGACACAAUACAGUAACUUGAAGAGGCAAGACCAUGCUUUUGGUCACUCAUGCAAUGCCAUUGACUUCAGUGGAGUUAAAGAAUGAAUGAAAUUAAAGAAUGACUAAAAGGUUAGAUCCCUUAUCAAUGAACUGAGCAGUCUUUUCUGUACUUCCCUGAUGAGUGUCUUCUCUACAUUGGGAAGGGAAGUUAAGCAGGAAAGACUUAAUGCGAAGGCCAAUGUGUAAGUCCAGGGGUUAUCUACUUUUUUUCUGUGAUAUCUAUUGUCAUUUUAAGUUAUGAAGGCUGAGGAAAGCAGGUGACCCAGGAAAGAGAUUUAAGGACAUGUAAAUCCUAGGCCAGUGGAUCUUUCUGGUCACAUUCACAACGAUAGAAGCUCUAAGCUUACUAAGUUUUACUUGCUAAAAAGAAUUAAACCAAGCGGUAGUUCUUGGACACCUCUGUGGGAGGCGUGGAGUUGGUAGGUUGUUCAAAUAGUUCACAGUCUGAAAAAGGAUUCUGGUGCAGCAGCAGCAAGUGAUGUUAUUAGAAAUUCUUAAAUGUAUUGGAAAACAUUGGCCUUGGAAUUACAUCUUAUCUCCUAAGCUAAUUCUCACAACUGGUGAGAGAUUUUGAUGAUCAUCCACCUUGAGCUGGGCUGACCAAAACCUGGCACAAGCUGUAGAGUUUAGAAAGGCCUUUCUAAAGGCCUCCUUUGUGGGAGCUUUCAGAGAGGCCAGUUGCACAGCUACUACCCAGGAGAGUAUAUAUGCACUUUUAGCAGUCCUGUUAGAGUCAUUGGGUCUACUUAUAACCUUAGCUGUUCUUCUAAGUCAACACUUUUAAUGAUGACAGUGAAAGAAUAGCUUUAAGCCAUAGAUCUAUUUUAGUUUCUAAACUACUGCGUAGCAGAAAAAUAAAGUGAGUCCUCUUACUAAUUUUAUCAGUCGUGUUAGGUCACUCCACUCUCUCCUGUGUUCUGAUGACACAGGAAGAGUAAGUCCUUCUUUCACCUCUGUAUCUGGUUUCCUGGGAUCACCUUUGUUGCCUUAUGCUUCAGAGUAAUAAUAUACAAUGAAAGGUAGGUUGUCUUUCAGACAGAAGUCUAAAUUAUGUCUGCAAAGAAAAAAAUAGCUUGUGGGUUCACUUGCUAUUCAUUUGUUAAUCCCCCUGCUCUCUGCUUACUGCUUUAGCUAAGAACUGCAGUGAUUUCUAAUCUAACUCCCAAGGAGCUUUCUUCUCAGUGUGGGAGAUGACUGAGUGUAUAUUCCCUAAUAUUCCUAAAUUUAGUAACUUGUAACUUUGGAGUGAUUUUUUUUUCCUAUGAAGACAUUUUACCGCUUAUGGAAGAUGCUGGAUUAACAGAUCAAAAUCACAGACUGUUGUAUAGGCACAGAAAGCGCAUAGGGAAGCUUUGUUGUAGGUUUUGAGGCUUCACUAGUAUACCAAGAUUAUCUCAUUCUGCACACCACUUUAGCCUUUCAUUUACUGAGGUUUCUAGUGAGGAUACCAACAAAGGUGACAACUAAUGAACCAUUCACUCCUGAAAUUUAAACCUAGGUCUGAAUUCAUCAUCCAGUUUAUAUUCAAAGAAAAGGGUUAUUAUGUAAAACUUGUUGCUCAAUCCUAACAAAUGCAACAGCAUAAAGAGGGACAAGAGAUGUUCGGAGAACCUGUGACUUUGCGUGCAACUGGGGAGCACAUCCAAAAUGUUUUAAAGCUGGAGGAACGUGAGAGGGAGAGACCUAUUUGUAACAGUUACAAUCUCAAAACAAAAGGCAGCUACCGCUGGAACACCACUUUUGCAAUGCUUGAAUGCUAGAAUUCAGCCUGUGCUCUCUUGUAUCAAAUUCAUGACAACUUAACAGUAUUUCAGUGCAGUUCUUUAUCAGUUUUAGAUUACAUCAUGCUGUGAAUUGCUCUAUCUGUUAAUAUUGAUUCACGUAAAUCAUUUGGUUUGAGGUCUUCAAAUGGGAAGUUGAGGUGCAUUUCAGGGUACAAUGUACUCAUUUUGUCCUUGAAAAUCAUUUAGAAAAAAAAGCAAGCUGCAGUUGCAUAGAUUAUAUUACUUUUCUGAAAGGUUAGAUUUACCCCUUAGAACUGUCAAUAGUGGGACAAAAGCCUUCCAUUGAAAGAAUGAGAAUAGAGGAGAAAACUGUUGGUGCUUAAAGUUGAUUGAGGGAGUCACAGAAGUGCUGCAGGUCUCAAGGGCUGUGUAGCCCAAAGCCUGAUUCAAAGAAGUCAUGCUGUUUUUAAUGAGAGCAGCUAGAGCAGCAGAAGUGAUAACUGAAUUCUAGUUCCUGAACUUUAAUCUAGAUCUAGCUAGGGUUUUUUUUCUUAAUUACCUAAGUUUUGCUUGAAUAUCUCCUUCAUUUUUAUGUAUGUUCUUCAACUGUUGCAUGGCUUUGCUGUGAGCUGAGAAACAUCUACUAUGCUCUGUCUGCUGGGCUGCAUUUUGUUCUCCAUCCAUUUGCACUGGGCUAGCAUUUGUGAGUGAAGGUUCUUUUUGUUUUGCAAAUCCUUUAUAAUCCCUCAGAAAUAGUGCUGGUGUAGAAAUAUCAGUGUUACACAGAUGCAUAUCAAACUGUGAUAAAUGGAAGUUGCACUGGAAAAAAAAUGGAAGUAAUAUUGUUGUAUGUUAGUGAUUAUCAUUGGUCUUUACUCCACUAAGAAGCUCCCAUCUGAAUAUGCUUGGUUUUGCUGAAAUUUUAUGGGAGUUGGAGCUGAGUAAAUGUGAUGACUAGAUUGGUGCACCUGAGCAAGGCAAGGUGUUGGCAGAAUUGUCCUGCUGCUUGCUAAAGGACUAUGAAGGUUUCUUGUAGGGAAACUGCCUUUCCUGUACAGAAAGAAAAGAUUGCUCCUUCCUGGCAAGAGGGACACUGUUAUUACUUCUCCAGCCUACUCUGAGUUUGCACUAGUGACUGAAAUGUUCCCAGACAAGCAGAUGGGAAAAUAGCCUGUAAAUCAUUAUUGUUAUAAAUGGUUUGUAAAACUUUGGAUGUUGAGAGGUAAGAGUAGUUCAAAUAAGGGUUGGGAAUAAUGAGGAAGCAGAGAAAGAUUGAAGUAGCACAAGAUGUUUAGAGUUGGCCAAGAAGAAAUCGGACUAAGCAGAACCAUUCAAGAAGGAGCAGAUGGAAACAGUUGCCAGCAGAUGAGUACUGGAAAAGAUUCAAGCCACAGUACUUGCUGGAACUUGGGAGUUUGUGAUGGCCUGAGCUAAACCAAUGACAGGUAUCUAAGAUUUGAAACCAGA